rnacentral:misc_RNA from 1 species
UUCCGUAGGUGAACCUGCGGAAGGAUCAUUAAAAAAUUGGACUCCAUUGGUGAGUUCAUUAAUAAUCCUACCCUUUGUGAAUUUGUUUGUUUGAAUAAUUUUUUCCAAAAAAAAUUAUUGAAUGUCUUUCCUGUUUUGGUGGAGCUUGUAAAGUGAAACCAGGCAGGGGAAUGGCAAACAAUAAUUAUUUUUGAAAAAGACCUUUUUUAAAAUUAAACUUUUUGUAUUCAUUUGUCUAAAAUUAUUUUUAUAAUAUAAAAACAACUUUGACAAUGGAUCUCUUGGUUCUCGCAACGAUGAAGAACGCAGCAAAAUGCGAUAAGUAGUGUGAAUUGCAGAAUACGUGAAUCAUCGAAUCUUCGAACGCAUAUUGCACUUUUUUAGUUUACUAAAAAAGUAUGUCUGUUUGAGUAUCAGUAAAAUAUUCUCAUAAAAACUUUUUUGUUUUUAUGGUUAUGAGUGUUUUUACAACGAUACAAGUUGUUUCACUUUAAAUUUUUUUAAAUUUGAAUUUUUCUAAUUUUAAAAUAAAAUUGGAUAAAAUUUUCCCGUAAAAAGGAAUAACCUAAAACAAUUUUAAUUUUUGAUUAGAAAAUCCAAACUAAAGGAAAAUUUAACUAAAUAACUUGAUCUCAAAUCAGAUAAGAGUACCCGCUGAACUUAAGCAUAUCAAUAAGCGGAGGAAAGAAACUAACAAGGAUUCCUUAGUAACGGCGAGUGAAGCGGGAAGAGCUCAAAUUUGAAAUCUUCAAGGUUUACCUUGACGAAUUGUAGUUUAAAGAAGUGUUUUCUGUUGAAGUUUUGGUAAAAGUUCUUGGAAUAGACAUCAUAGAGGGUGAGAAUCCCGUAUUGACCAUUAUUUUCAGCUGUGUGAUACACUUUCAAAGAGUCGGAUUGUUUGGGAAUGCAGUCCAAAAUGGGUGGUAAAUUUCAUCUAAAGUAAAUAUUGGCGAGAGACCGAUAGCGAACAAGUACCGUGAGGGAAAGAUGAAAAGAACUUUGAAAGGAGAGUUAAACAGUACGUGAAAUUGUCAAAAGGGAAGCGUUUGACACCAGUGUUGUUUUCUCGAAAAUCAAUUAAAAAAAGUUGGAUUUUGUGUUGUAUUGACCUUAACAGCUUGCUUCACUCUUUUCUUGCUUUUUUUAAUGCACUUUUCGUUUAACAAGUCAACAUCAGUUUCUUUUGUUGUAAAAGGGUCAUUGGAAGGUGGCUUUCUCUUCGGAGAAAGUGUUUAUAGCCUUUGAUCUCUGCAAUCGGAGAGACUGAGUCUGCAGCGUAGAUCCUUCGGGUUAGAUACAUUUGUGCUAAGCUACAGCUUUCAUAGACAACUUGUUGACUAUGUUAGUCUUGUAACUUACCCGCUUAUGCUAUUUACCUACGCUUAGGAUGUUG